AAGAAAAUUAAAAAUUGAGUUGGCGUGCAAAAAAUUGUUUAGGGAAAACGAUAGAAAUUUAUUAGCUUGAAUAGUUCCUGAGAUUGUAGUGGCCAAAUCGACUCGGCUAUUGCUCCUGGUCAGGAAUAUAUAUGGAGUCGCAAGCAAGCCAGAAGAGCAAUUCGGUCGAGAUACGCGGAGUGAUAAUAACGCCACAAAAGAUCGUGAGAGUAUAGAGAUCAAUCAAAAUGACGAGCAGUCGGUGCCACACAUUUUUGAGUUUUUGGGCAUUAAAUGGAAACCUAGGACUACAUAUGUCCUUAUUUGGUCUGAAACGCUUCAUUCUACCUGUUACAAAUUUUUUAACGAAUCUAGCAUACCCUUUUACUCUACGAGUAACCGGUAUAAAAAUGGAAAUUUAUUCAAGUUCUAUUGACAUUUUAACUGAAAUUUAAUGUUCGUUUGUAUGCAAGUCUAUGUGUAUUCAGGUAUACAUAAAAAUACCAUGACCAGUUUGUU
rnacentral:sRNA from 1 species